GCUCACUUUAUUAGCAUGUAUUAGAAUGAGAGAGAAGCUCAGCACUGCCCCUCCGAUAGCACGACAUGCAAAUUCAUGAAACAUUCCAUAUUGCU
rnacentral:snRNA from 1 species